GCCUGGGUGGCUCAGUCGUUAAGCGUCUGCCUUCGGCUCAGGGCGUGAUCCUGGCGUUGUGGGAUCGAGCCCCGCUUCAGGCU
rnacentral:tRNA from 1 species